rnacentral:rRNA from 1 species
UACGGGGGGGGCAAGCGUUGUUCGGAAUUACUGGGCGUAAAGGGCUCGUAGGCGGCCAACUAAGUCAGACGUGAAAUCCCUCGGCUUAACCGGGGAACUGCGUCUGAUACUGGAUGGCUUGAGAUUGGGAGAGGGAUGCGGAAUUCCAGGUGUAGCGGUGAAAUGCGCAGAUAUCGGGAAGAACACCCGUGGCGAAGGCAGCUCUCUGGGACGGUACUGACGCUGAGACGCGAAAGCGUGGGGAGCGAACAGG